CAGACAACCACACUCCCAUUCACACCCAGGGGAUAAUUUAGAAUAACCACCAAACCGGAGAAAUGUCAAGUUAUGGGGAGAAGCCAAAAGAGAGCAGACCCAGCAGCAGAUGACAGUUCUUUAUUUGAAACUGGAGAAGAAAAGCAGGAUCAGGUGAGUCAGCUUAGCCACCUUGUGCAGCUACCAGGAGGUGCAGGACUCUGUGGAGUGGAAACAGGGGAUCAGUGGCCAACGGGUUCUUUGUAAGAAUUUUCUGUUGCUUACUGUCAUGAAGAUAGACUAGUGGCUGGAAGGAAAGGAGUGGUGAUCUCCCCUCAGGAUGAGUGAACCAGAGGCACAGCAGGGGAAGGAGGGGGUUCUCCAAAGGGUGCGUGGAGGAAACUGGAGAAUUUUGUCCUUGAUCCAAAAGGCAGGUCCAAGAUGAAAGAGGGUCUGGCACACAGGAAUCCAAUUCACAGGGAAUGGGGUGAGGUACUCACAAAGGGACAGGCUGCACGGAUAAGUCGUGGAGAGCAGAAACAGGUCAGGUCAGGUCAGGAUAGAAUGAGUAGAUUUUCAGGUUUGCAGGUUCUCAGAAGCAGGUAGACAUUGUUGUUGAACACAGACGUUCCAGCAAGGCCAUGUUGUAGGUUUAAAUAAGCACAGUCACAGGUGACAGGUAUCAGUAGAAGAUUACCUUGAGGGGGUGAACCAGGGCAGACAUGUCAAGAAAUAGGAAACGUGAGAAGAAGCUGGAGCUUUAGGGUGUAUUCAGACUACACUCAUUUGGUUUUCUGAAUACACUCAAGCGGACCCUGGUCUGGGACCAGGAACUGCCCUCGGCCCCAUCUUUUCAGGGGGGCUUGGUUUGUUUCCAAUCAGACUGAGCUCCGGUUUGCUCUGAGUUUCCUCUGUCUGAAUAGAUUUUGUGCUGGAAGUGGAGCAACUGGACCAAGACGGGCACCGCAGCCUGUAAACGAGCCGCAAACAAACAUGGACCAACGAUGAGACACAGCUACUCAUUAAAAUGGUAGCUUCUUAGCUGUCAUCGCCUCAGUAACCGCCCUGCAGCACGCCUCCACCGGACCAAAGGCACAAAUCAAGGAUACUCAGGCUGUGUGGACCUGCGGCCUCCUCCUGAGCAAUGAGAGCAGGCACAGGAGAGCAGACAAGCAGGGGCUGCAUGUCUGUCUGGACUCCAGCAGCAGCAGAAAGACUCCUGCUGUUCAAACCAACAGAAAAGAGCAGUCACAGGGUGACUGGCUGGGAGAUGCUUGUUAGAAACUUCCCAGCCGUUUCUUAACUACAUCUCAAUCUCUUCCCUUCCACUUUUGUUUCUAAUAAAACAAAACAAAACCUUAAACAGCAUUGAUUCUCGUUGCUCCUGAAGUGUC